rnacentral:tRNA from 1 species
AGCGGCGUGGCUCAGUGGAAAGAGCACGGGCUUGGGAGCCAGAGGCCAUGGGUUCGAAUCCCAGCUCUGCCA